CUCGUUUGCCUCGAUGCCCUUUCCGAACCCAUCGCCUCAUGGCCGCUCUCAAUUCUCUCCUCGCUCCACACUCCCUCCCAUCCAAAACCCCUCGCUCUUUCCCAUCUCCUCUUUACCCUUCAUUCCAAUAUUCGGUACUCCGUCUCUCCUCCUCGAUCAAGAACGCUAGACUCCACUGCCAUGCCUCCGCCUCCUCCUCGGCCGCGGCGGUGGUGACCGAAGCGGAACCAGAUGCCGCCGGUGAGGGGGAGAAGUUCGACUGGUUCGCCCACUGGUACCCCGUCGCCCCCAUCUGCGACCUCGACAAGCGGCGGCCGCACGCGAAGACUGUGAUGGGACUGGACCUCGUCGUGUGGUGGGACCGGACGAAGGGGCGAUGGCAGGUGUUCGACGACCGCUGCCCCCACCGAUUGGCCCCGCUUUCAGAGGGCCGCAUCGACCCGUCGGGCCGCCUGCAGUGCGUGUACCAUGGCUGGUGCUUCGACGGCAGCGGCAGCUGCAAGUACAUCCCCCAGG
rnacentral:lncRNA from 1 species